CCUACGGGAGGCAGCAGUAAGGAAUAUUGCGCAAUGGACGAAAGUCUGACGCAGCAACGCCGCGUGCAGGAUGAAGGCCCUUUGGGUUGUAAACUGCUGUAGAAAGGGAAUAAUAGUUUGCCACGGGUGAACUUGAAGGUACCUUUAAAGUAAGCGCCGGCUAACUACGUGCCAGCAGCCGCGGUAAUACGUAGGGCGCAAGCGUUGUCCGGAUUCACUGGGUGUAAAGGGUGCGCAGGCGGAUUGGCAAGUCAGAGGUGAAAUCUCACGGCUCAACCGUGAAACUGCCUUUGAUACUGCUUAUCUUGAGUUCGGGAGAGGUUGAUGGAAUUCCAGGUGUAGCGGUGAAAUGCGUAGAUAUCUGGAAGAACACCAGUGGCGAAGGCGGUCAACUGGCCCGCAACUGACGCUCAUGCACGAAAGCGUGGGGAUCAAACAGGAUUAGAUACCCUGGUAGUCCACGCCCUAAACGAUGUAUGCUUGGUGUUGGCUCUUUAGAGUCAGUGCCGUAGGUAACCUGUUAAGCAUACCACCUGGGGAGUACGCUCGCAAGGGUGAAACUCAAAGGAAUUGACGG
rnacentral:rRNA from 1 species